rnacentral:misc_RNA from 1 species
CAGAGUUCUCGCCCUUCCGGGUAGAUCUCCCACCCACUGUUAUCGUUACCGUCGUUUCUCUGGCGGGCACGCGCCAGAGGCCCUUCAAACUCUGAAUGUUAGUGUCGUCUGAGUACUAUACAAUAGUUA